CCUACGGGUGGCAGCAGUGGGGAAUAUUGCACAAUGGGGGGAACCCUGAUGCAGCGACGCCGCGUGAGUGAAGGCGUCCUUCGGCAUGUAAAGCUCUAUUUGUAGGGAAGAAGAAAGACGGUACCUGACUAAGAAGCACCGGCUAACUACGUGCGAGCAGGCGCGGUAAUACGGAGGGGGCGCGCGUUAUCCGGAUUUACUGGGUGUAAAGGGAGCGUAGACGGGUAUGCAAGGCAGGGGUGAAAGCCCAGGGCCCAACCCGGGGACUGCGCUUGAAACUGUGGGGCUAGAGUGCGGGAGGGGUAAGUGGAAUUCCUGGUGUAGCGGUGAAAUGCGUAGAUAUCAGGAGGAACACCGGUGGCGAAGGCGGCGUACUGGACCGAGACUGACGUUGAGGCUCGAAAGCGUGGGGAGCAAACAGGAUUAGAUACCCGAGUAGUC
rnacentral:rRNA from 1 species